rnacentral:rRNA from 2 species
GGACUACAAGGGUUUCUAAUCCUGUUUGCUCCCCACGCUUUCGUGCCUCAGCGUCAGGACAGGCCCAGCCGGACGGCUUCCCCAUCGGCAUUCCAGUUGAUAUCUACGCAUUUCACCGCUCCACCAACUGUUCUUCCGGCCCCUACCUGCCUCAAGCCCGCCAGUUUGCCCUGCUGUUCCACAGUUGAGCUGUGGGAUUUCACAAAGCACUUGGCGGGCCGCCUACGCACCCUUUAAGCCCAGUGAUUCCGACUAACGCUCGAGCCCCCUGUAUUACCGCGGCUGCUGGCAC